GGUGAGGUGGCCGAGUGGUUAUGGCGCUAGUUUCAGGAAAACCUGGAAUGGUUCCCUUGAAAAGGAAAUUUACUAGUGGGUAAAACCGCGUGGGUUCGAGUAAGCUAUUCCGUCCUCACUG